UACGUAGGGUGCAAGCGUUGUCCGGAAUUAUUGGGCGUAAAGAGCUCGUAGGCGGUUUGUUGCGUCGGCUGUGAAAUCCCGAGGCUCAACCUCGGGUCUGCAGUCGAUACGAGCAAACUAGAGUGUUGCAGGGGAGACUGGAAUUCCUGGUGUAGCGGUGGAAUGCGUAGAUAUCGGGAGGAACACCAGUGGCGAAGGCGACUACCUGGCCUGUUCUUGACGCUGAGGCGCGAAAGCUAGGGGAGCAAACGGG
rnacentral:rRNA from 1 species